rnacentral:rRNA from 1 species
UACGUAGGGGGCAAGCGUUGUCCGGAAUCAUUGGGCGUAAAGCGCGUGUAGGCGGCCCGGUAAGUCCGCUGUGAAAGUCGGGGGCUCAACCCUCGAAUGCCGGUGGAUACUGUCGGGCUAGAGUGCGGGAGAGGCGAGUGGAAUUCCUGGUGUAGCGGUGAAAUGCGCAGAUAUCAGGAGGAACACCGGUGGCGAAGGCGGAUCUCUGGGCCGAUACUGACGCUGAGGAGCGAAAGCGUGGGGAGCGAACAGG